UACAAUCUCAUCCCAACUCUCUCUCUCUCUCUCUCUCUCUCUCUCUCUCUCUCUCUCUCUCUCUCCCCCUCUCCGAUGGACUACUCGAGUGGCGCGUCGGCGUCGGGGAGGACGCGGGCGCGGUGGUGCUACUGCCGCUGCUUCCGCCGGUGGUGCCGCUGCUUCUGCGGCUGCUACUGCUGCAACUGCUUCCCUGACGAGCCCCACGACGCCCCCCGCGCCGCCGCAUACGCCUAGGGUCCUGGGCUCUCAGGGAGACAGCACAUAUAGGCAUAUGAGGAUACUACUGUCGUCAUGUAGGCAAAUGGCUACCUUACUCUUGAAAUAGAUGUUGAAGAAGGAAUGGCAGCUUCAGGAGCUCAUUUUCGGAUGGUUGCUGGACGAAAAAUGUAUUAGUGUGUAACUUGUGAUGAGGCUGUUUAAAGUACAUUGCUUGUUAUGUUACCUAGAAGUCCCAAUGAUGGGAAUCAAAGUAGCACUUGUAAUACUUGCUAUCUGUGUUCCAUGGUUUGCUAAACUAAAGUCGAAUACUUGUAAAAUCCAGCUGGUACUUACGAGUUCUGCACCCACUUCGGAUGUACAUAAAGAGAUUUAAUUUUUCCGUUUCUCCCGGGUGUAUUGCACAUUCUUGUAAGGCCAUAUUCCAGAUCGCAAUCUGUUACUAAAACAAGUGAUGAAUGUCUGCACAUACUUGUGCUCUCA